GAAGAAAGUCUCAAGGGUAAUAUCCUUGGUCAUUGACGUUACCUGCAGAAGAAGCACUGGCUAACUCUGUGCCAGCAGCCGCGGUAAUACAGAGAGUGCAAGCGUUAAUCGGAAUUACUGGGCGUAAAGCGCGCGUAGGUGGAUGCUUAAGUCGGAUGUGAAAGACCCCUAGGCUUAACCUGGGAACUGCAUCCGAUACUGGGUAUCUCGAGUAUGGUAGAGGGAAGUGGAAUUUCCGGUGUAGCGGUGAAAUGCGUAGAUAUCGGAAAGAACACCAGUGGCGAAGGCGGCUUCCUGGACCAAUACUGACACUGAGGCGCGAAAGCGUGGGGAGCAAACAGGAUUAGAGACCCUGGUAGUCCACGCCGUCAACGAUGAGAACUAGCUGUUGGGGAGUUCACUUUCUAGUAGCGAAGCUAACGCGUUAAGUUCUCCGCCUGGGGAGUACGACCGCAAGGUUAAAACUCAAAGAAAUUGACGGGGGCCCGCACAAGCGGUGGAGCAUGUGGUUUAAUUCGAUGCAA
rnacentral:rRNA from 1 species